UAGGAUUACUAGUCAUCCCAGUUUGUCUAGGACUGCCCUGGUAGUAUCAUUUGUUAACACUGAAAGUCUCACAUUCCAGGAACCCCUCAGUCCUGGGCAAACCAGGAUGACUAGUUACCGUAAAAUGGA
rnacentral:miRNA from 1 species